rnacentral:rRNA from 1 species
GACACAGGGAGGUAGUGACAAGAAAUAACAAUACGGGGCUUAAUGUCUUGUAAUUGGAAUGAUGGGAAUUUAAACCUCUUCCAGAGUAUCAAUUGGAGGGCAAGUCUGGUGCCAGCAGCCGCGGUAAUUCCAGCUCCAAUAGCGUAUAUUAAAAUUGUUGCAGUUAAAAAGCUCGUAGUUGAAUUUCUGCUGCAUUGCAUUUGCUCCUUGACGAGUGUCUGUAUUGCGGCUUAUUUCGGAUUAUGCUUGCAUUUUCCGGAUGUUUACUUUGAGAAAAUUAGAGUGCUCAAAGCAGGCUUUUGCCUUGAAUAGUUUAGCAUGGAAUAAUAAAGUAGGACUUUGGUUCUAUUUUGUUGGUUUUAGGUACCAAAGUAAUGGUUAAUAGGAACAGUUGGGGGCAUUCGUAUUUAACUGUCAGAGGUGAAAUUCUUAG